CUCUCUUGUCGCCGGAAAAAUAAUCCAACUGUUGAAAAAUCGCUAGUCUUGACGCAGAAUCUAAUGGAUUACAACCGCGGCACUUUGACACACACGUGGAGAACUACAAGAGCCAUUGCAGAGGGAAUUUGCGGAAGUCAGAGACUAAUAGUCAGCAUCGCCGCAGAGUGAAGUUCUUCGAAGAACGGGAGGCGGAAGGUUCGUUAGAAGGCACUCUCUAAUCUUGGGGUACAGCUGAAAUUAAAGAAGUGAACUUCCCCCCUCGGAUGCAUCGG
rnacentral:lncRNA from 1 species